rnacentral:rRNA from 1 species
GGUUAAGUGACUAAGCGUACAUGGUGGAUGCCUUGGCAGUCAGAGGCGAUGAAGGACGUACUAACCUGCGAUAAGCCGUGAGCAGUCGGUAAGAGACAUUACGACUCACGGAUUUCCGAAUGGGGAAACCCACUUAGCAUAAGCUAGGUAUCGCUGCGUGAAUACAUAGCGUAGCGAGGCGAACCGGGAGAACUGAAACAUCUAAGUACCCCGAGGAAAAGAAAUCAACCGAGAUUCCCUCAGUAGCGGCGAGCGAACGGGGAUUAGCCCUUAAGCAUCUUGGAAGUUAGUGGAACGGUCCUGGAAAGGCCGGCGAUACAGGGUGAUAGCCCCGUACACGAAAACAACCUUGAUGUGAAAUCGAGUAGGGCGGGACACGUGACAUCCUGUCUGAAUAUGGGGGGACCAUCCUCCAAGGCUAAAUACUCCUGACUGACCGAUAGUGAACCAGUACCGUGAGGGAAAGGCGAAAAGAACCCCUGUGAGGGGAGUGAAAUAGAACCUGAAACCGUGUACGUACAAGCAGUGGGAGCCCUUCGGGGUGACUGCGUACCUUUUGUAUAAUGGGUCAGCGACUUACAUUUUGUAGCGAGGUUAACCGUAUAGGGGAGCCGUAGGGAAACCGAGUCUUAACUGGGCGUCUAGUUGCAAGGUGUAGACCCGAAACCGGGUGAUCUAGCCAUGGGCAGGUUGAAGGUUGAGUAACAUCAACUGGAGGACCGAACCCACUAACGUUGCAAAGUUAGGGGAUGACCUGUGGCUGGGGGUGAAAGGCCAAUCAAACUCGGAGAUAGCUGGUUCUCCCCGAAAGCUAUUUAGGUAGCGCCUCGGACGAAUACUACUGGGGGUAGAGCACUGUUUGGGCUAGGGGGUCAUCCCGACUUACCAACCCCAUGCAAACUCCGAAUACCAGUAAGUAAUAUCCGGGAGACACACGGCGGGUGCUAACGUCCGUCGUGAAGAGGGAAACAACCCAGACCGCCGGCUAAGGUCCCAAAGUUCUGGUUAAGUGGGAAACGAUGUGGGAAGGCUCAGACAGCUAGGAUGUUGGCUUAGAAGCAGCCAUCAUUUAAAGAAAGCGUAAUAGCUCACUAGUCGAGUCGGCCUGCGCGGAAGAUGUAACGGGGCUCAAACCAGGCACCGAAGCCGCGGAUUCACGCUAAGCGUGAGUGGUAGGGGAGCGUUCUGUAAGUCUGCGAAGGUGUGUCGAGAGGCAUGCUGGAGAUAUCAGAAGUGCGAAUGCUGACGUAAGUAACGAUAAAGGGGGUGAAAAGCCUCCUCGCCGGAAGACCAAGGGUUCCUGUCCAACGUUAAUCGGGGCAGGGUGAGUCGACCCCUAAGGCGAGGCCGAAAGGCGUAGUCGAUGGGAAGCAGGUUAAUAUUCCUGCACGACUUGUAAUUGCGAUGGGGGGACGGAGAAGGCUAGGUGGGCCAGGCGACGGUUGUCCUGGUGAAAGUGCGUAGGUGGUGUUUCUAGGCAAAUCCGGAGACACAACACUGAGACACGAGACGAACACACUACGGUGUGGAAGCCAUUGAUGCCCUGCUUCCAGGAAAAGCCUCUAAGCUUCAGAUUACAAGUCAUCGUACCCCAAACCGACACAGGUGGUCGGGUAGAGAAUACCAAGGCGCUUGAGAGAACUCGGGUGAAGGAACUAGGCAAAAUAGAACCGUAACUUCGGGAGAAGGUUCGCUCUUGACAGUGAAGUCCCUUGCGGAUGGAGCAGUUGGGAGUCGCAGUGACCAGAUGGCUGGGACUGUUUAUCAAAAACACAGCACUCUGCAAACACGAAAGUGGACGUAUAGGGUGUGACACCUGCCCGGUGCCGGAAGGUUAAUUGAUGGGGUUAGCGCAAGCGAAGCUCUUGAUCGAAGCCCCGGUAAACGGCGGCCGUAACUAUAACGGUCCUAAGGUAGCGAAAUUCCUUGUCGGGUAAGUUCCGACCUGCACGAAUGGUGUAACCAUGGCCAUGCUGUCUCCACCCGAGACUCAGUGAAAUCGAAUUCGCCGUGAAGAUGCGGUGUACCCGCGGCUAGACGGAAAGACCCCGUGAACCUUUACUACAGCUUGGCACUGAACAUUGAACCUACAUGUGUAGGAUAGGUGGGAGGCUUUGAAGGCGUGACGCCAGUUGCGCUGGAGCCGUCCUUGAAAUACCACCCUUGUAUGUUUGAUGUUCUAACGCAGGCCCGUGAAUCCGGGUCGCGGACAGUGCCUGGUGGGUAGUUUGACUGGGGCGGUCUCCUCCCAAAGAGUAACGGAGGAGCACGAAGGUUGGCUAAUCCUGGUCGGACAUCAGGAGGUUAGUGCAAUGGCAUAAGCCAGCUUAACUGCGAGACGGACAGGUCGAGCAGGUACGAAAGUAGGUCAUAGUGAUCCGGUGGUUCUGAAUGGAAGGGCCAUCGCUCAACGGAUAAAAGGUACUCCGGGGAUAACAGGCUGAUACCGCCCAAGAGUUCAUAUCGACGGCGGUGUUUGGCACCUCGAUGUCGGCUCAUCACAUCCUGGGGCUGAAGUCGGUCCCAAGGGUAUGGCUGUUCGCCAUUUAAAGUGGUACGCGAGCUGGGUUCAGAACGUCGUGAGACAGUUCGGUCCCUAUCUGCCGUGGGCGUUGGAUGAUUGAAGGGAGUUGCUCCUAGUACGAGAGGACCGGAGUGAACGAACCUCUGGUGUUCGGGUUGUCACGCCAGUGGCACUGCCCGGUAGCUAAGUUCGGAAUCGAUAACCGCUGAAAGCAUCUAAGCGGGAAGCGAGCCCUGAGAUGAGUCAUCCCUGACCCCUUGAGGGUCCUAAAGGGCCGUUGGAGACCACAACGUUGAUAGGUGGGGUGUGUAAGCGCGGCGACGUGUUGAGCUAACCCAUACUAAUUACCCGUGAGGCUUAACCAU